GGGGAUUUAGCUCAGUGGUAGAGCGCUUGCCUAGCAAGCGCCAGGCCCUGGGUUCAGUCCCCA
rnacentral:tRNA from 1 species